GAUGCUGGAUGAAGCACGAAAAGAGCAUGCACUCCUGCAGAGUGAAGGGAAAAAUGCCGCACGGGGAGCAGACACGCCCACAGAAGAAAUGUACCAUCAAAUCCAGGAUCUUUUGACCCUGUUUGGAGUUCCCUAUGUAAUUGCUCCACAAGAGGCAGAAGCACAAUGUGCGUGGAUGAAUUCAGAAGGUCUUGUAGAUGCUGUCAUAACGGAAGACAGCGAUGCAUUUUUGUUCGGCGCGAGUACUGUAUAUCGCAAUGUGUUCAACACCAAAAAAUACGUGGAAGUAUACUCUGUAGAAAAUAUACAGCGGGAUAUAGGUCUUAAACGGGCACAGAUGGCUGAACUCGCACUGUUGCUCGGAUCCGAUUACACAGAAGGUAUACCUGGGGUGGGUAUUGUUAAUGCUCUUGAAAUUGCAUCUGUAUUCUCCGGAAUGGAUGGCCUAACGACAUUUCGAAACUGGGUGGAAAAUGGUGAUCUUCCUGAUCAAGUUAAUCGUGGGAAUCGAUGUUUGGCAGGGUCAAGUUUGCCAAAAAAACAUGUCGUGGCAAAAGAUGGCGAAGGCGGCCAUUUAGUGUCGGACAAGGAAAAAAACAUCGAUUUGAAGGAAGGUGAAGUUGCAAAUAUCUACCUCCAACGAGAAAUCUUCAAGCAAAAGCACCAAGCCGCGAGAACAAGAUGGAUUUUACCAAAUGACUUUCCUUCAGUUGCGGUGAUCGAAGCGUAUGCAAAGCCUUUAGUUGACUCCUCGAAGGUGCACCUUGAAUGGGGCAAGCCUAACUUUGAGCUCCUUCGCGUCUUUUGUCUCGAAAGCUUCAACUGGGGAAUCGGUAAAACUGACGAGCUCCUAGAACCUGUCAUCCAAACCUGGGAACGGGCAGAGCGGCAGACUGUUAUAAAAGACUUUUUCUCAGUCUCCACAGAGCAGAUAAAUUUCGCUGUUCCGGUCGCGAGGUUUCGUUCAGCGCGCAUCCAAAACGCUAUAACCGGUCUAAAAUUUACAUCCAUGGACUAAGCCAGCUUAUUUGAUCGCGAGACAGUAAAUAUGGAGGUACCAAACUUAGAAUAAGUGACACUUCAAAUAAUGAACACAUACCCACGGAUUUAAGAAAGUAAUAUAAUGGCGAAUAAAACGCACGCAGUUGCCGUAACUAAC
rnacentral:lncRNA from 1 species